ACUCGCUGAUUGGCUGAGCAGGGCCGCGGACAGAGAGAAAUGCCGAGGAAUAGGGGCGCGGCCGCCCGGUUUCGGCGAUGGGUUAUAGGGUCCGCGUCAGCCCCGCGCCCGCACAGCCAACGUCACGCCGCAUUCUUAUUUCCAAAGACCCCUGGAGCUUGGGGUCCCACCCCAGCGGUCUUUCGGGGCGUCCCCUGCCCUUCACGCGCCGCGCCGGCUCGGCCCGAAGCGCCCUGCGGACCCGCAGCCUGGGCCGCCCCGAACCUGACGGCCCCGCGGGGGUCGGACGCGGGAGGAACGGCCUCGCUUUCAGAGACGCAGCGGGAGGGCGGUCCCCGCUGUCCCUCUGGCCGGGUCCUCAGCACGCGUUCUCCUCACUCCCAGGACUAGCGAGCGGCGGGCGCGGACCGGGGCCUGGGGUCGGAGGCGGCGCAGCCAGAAAGGCCCCAGCGGCGCUGAGACGUUUGGGGGAAGGCGGGGGCUUCGCGUUUCGAUGGCGGGAAGCGGAAUGAGGUUGGACCGGCCGGGCCGGCGUUCAGGGACCCGGCGGGAGGCGGAGGGCUGGCGUCCUCGCGGACAUCCAUCUGCAGCGAACCAGGCAGAGGCUUUGGGAUUAGAUCCUUGACUCCUUGCGUCAGUAGUUAAGCUUUGUGAUGGUCUGAGGUCCAUGAAGGGAUUAAAACCAGGAACUGGCUCCUUCUCCAACCACUAAAGCCUCAUCUGGGCCCACAAGCCCUGGCUGUUCCCUGGAGCGUGACUGGAAGAUGUGAGCAGCUUUGUGCUGGAGCCCCAUUUCCAUGGUGCAUGCUGCUGCCAAACCAGAGAUCACUUGUAGACUUGAAAGGGAACAUGAGCUUUGGGUGAAGGAUUCCCAGCCCCCAACAGAGGCCAAAAAGCUACCACCCAGCCAGGCAGAAGGAACAUAAAGUAUGCAUUUUAUGAUACGACUCAGCUUGGAGGGAUGAAGUAGAAGGUCCUCACUGCACCUCAUGGCAGGCUGCUGACGGCAGAUAUUUUACCGGGCUCACUGAACUGGGCAGUCAGGGAAGGGUCGGCUCCUGCUCUGUCCAGCUGUCUUCAUAAGGGACUCUGUGACACUUUUUAUAAAAAUGACUUUGAUUUCUGCAUAAGAAGGCUUCCCAAGCUUGCUGUCUAGCAGUGGCUGCUACAGGGAAUUAUUCACAUGGCAGCAAGAGAGCCCUGGCUCCCUGGACCAGGACAUUCCCUUUGUGUGUGUUGGAAUGAGAGCAGGAGGAGUGCUGGUCAGAAGCCCCUCCCCAGGGCUCUGGGACUUCAGUGUUCUCAGACAAACUGGGCCGCUCCUCUGAGCUGGGAUGCUGACCCACACUUGGCCCCGGCUCUGGCAUCCACAGGACGCUGCCUUAUCCGUCAUCUCGCUGGGGCUGGGGGCUAGAGGCUGAGCAGGUCACACUGAACAAAAGAAGUGUGUCCCCAUCACUAGGCUAACAUCUGAGUUUCUUCCACAGUAUUUGGUAACACAGUCAGAAACAAGACUGAAGAUGAUUCUGGAGGCAACUGGGAACCCCCCAGAACGAUUCUGCAGGCUUCUGGGAAGCUGAAAAACCCCAAGGCCAGACUGGCCUCAGAAUGCCUGAGUCCUUUUGAUUCCACUGGAAAAGCCAUCCAUCUGUGCCAAGUGUGUGGAGAGCUUCAAGAGCCAUAUAGCCCUGGCCACCAUGAGCACAGCCACGUGGGGGAGUAGUCCUGAAAGUGUCCUGGUGUGGCAAAGGCUUUCCACUAAGUGGACCUCAGAUGGCACAGGAAGACCCUCCUGGGGAUGUGGGAGGACACUGCCUAGUGGGUGAGGGGCCGCUCUUUCAGGUGUGCACACUAAAUGCAGAGACAGCCUCUCCUGGCUGCCAAGAAGCCUGUGCAUGAUCCAGGACCACAAAACACUUGCAAACUCACUGCCCAGAGGCCCUGUGCCUGUCUGGAGUGUGCCCAGUGUGUCUGCGCCCCACAGCUUGUCCUGGCCCGCCAGCAGAGCCGCAGCACUGCAGGGCCCUUCUGUUGUGAGUGCCAGGGCCCUUGCUGGCUGCCUGAGCAAGGCAAAAGGUUCAAAACAGGAAGUCUCUGGGCAGCUAUUCCCAGGUGCAGAGGGGAGCAGCGGCCACACAGGUGCCAGUGUGGCAGGAGCUGCAGUCAGAGGCAGCAUCUCAAGAGCCCUGGGAGCAGGGGCCAGCCACGUGAAGCCCACGAGUGUCGCUGGCACAGGGAAGGGACACGAGGAUCACACUGACCCAAGAGAAGGCCCACAGUGAGGAGGCCCCACCGAAGCAUCCCCAGCAACAGGGACUGAGGCAUCUGAGGCAGCCAGCCCACUCGGAAAGGCCUGCUGACUGCACUCCAGAUGUCAAGAGCACCCUUGGGAAAAAGAAAGGCAGGAGUGCAGCACUUUCUAGAGCCUCAGCUCACUUCUCUCCUUCUAGCUCCAGCCGGAGUGAUGGAAGAGGCUGCGCUGGGAGCUGCCUCCCUGGGAGCCUACCCUGCCCAGCCUGAGAGUGGAGGCUACCAGCAUCACGCUUCCCCUAGUGAAAUCCAUCUGUCCUGAAGGGAACCCUGGGACGGGGUCAAGGAAACCCUGUUCACCCCCACCACGGGGUCAGGUCUUCACCAAAGGGAGGCCGCACGGAUUCCCAGUCGCAAACCCAAAGCCUUGCUGCCUUUGCCUCUGUUUCCAUAGUUGUUUCAAUGUCUUUUUUAAAAAUCACAUACACUCGAGUAAGACUGAGUCUCCUCACCGAAGAGAUCUGGCUGUAUCCCGAGUCUCUGAAACCUUUGCUCCAGUCCCGUGGGAGCGUGCCGUCCCGAGGAUGUGGAGCCGCAAGGGCUCGCCAGAGGGAUCUCAGGAGCUAGGCCUCAAGGAGCGCUGUUGAGUGACAGGUCUGAUGCAGUAGCUUUUACUAUUGGUGGAAAUCGAUGUUUUUUCCUUGAAAGUCUACCUUUCUAAGUUCAGUAAACCAAAUUAGAUCAUGUAUGUGAAAGCACUUUGUAAACUAUGCAGUACUCCAGAAAAGGCAGCCAAGCCCUUAAUUAUAACUCACCAAACAGCCAACUCUCAUCUUUACCUUCUAACUGGCAAAAAUGAUUGAGCUCACUUUGAAGGACUAGAGAGGAAAGAAACUGAAAGACAAAAAUCAGGUGAAUACACAGGCACUUCCCCUGCCCACCUCUGUUCCUGGCCCUGUCCCCUCGUGAGUGAGAGCAGAGCUCGUUCUGUCAGCUUCUCUGAGCUCCUGGUCCUCGCUUAGGGACACACAAGACAGAGAUGUGUUGAAAUAGACUCUGCUUUAUUCAGGUAGCAAAAGGUUAGGAAUCAAACAUGGUUUUUAAAACCUCCUUUCAUCUUUGAAAAUAGAGGAGAGAACAUCCCUGGGCCAGUCACAGUUACUGUAUUUGGCUAAGCACACACCUGUAUGAGGGACCCGCCCCUCCACACUGUUCUGAUAGGUACUUAGCACCCUAGAAACUCAUCCUCUGCAGGAGAGAGAAGCAAGGGUCUGGAGCGCGGUCACAUACUCUAAGGUAUCUUCCAGGACAGGGGGCUGGGCUCCCUCACUCCCACCUGGAGUCGCUAUGGCUAUUGGGAUCAAACUACCAGUUACAUACUGGUUACUUGGAAUGUCAGACCCGGUGGGUAUCAGUCAUCAGGGAGAGGGAGGGGAAAUGCCAGGACACGUACAUACGGAUGCUGUCAAGACUACAGGCAAGGAGGAGGGUGGCGACAAGCGCUGGGACUCCAGCCAAAGCGGGAGUGCAUGCUUCUUCCCCUCCCAGAGCCCUGUGGUUUUUCUUCUUGUGAGGCAUAAACAGGAAGCCUCUCCAACAAGGGGGUCUCCAGCACUAGGGGCUGAAACUCAGCCAGCCUCUCCAAACAAAGCAAAGGGGCCAGCCUGGGCCAGGGCCUCUGAUAAGGAUGCUCACUGUGUUUCCACGGGGGUCCUGAAUGAGGAAGUUCAGGAAUAAGAUGGCAGUCAUCUUCUUCCUUCUUGGCCAUUGGCUGACAAAGGGGAACGGAGCAGGCCUGUGCCCCUUGAGAAAUCGGGUAGUGCAAAUUUUAUGACAAACAGCAUUCUCAGUGGCCCCGCUGCACAGGGACCCCCCUUUCCCACCACCUAAGGAAGGCACUGGCCGGUGUCCUCGGAGCACGCUGAUGCUGACGUGGAGAGGGCGAGUUGCUUCCCCUAGCUUCCACCUCAGCUCCAGAACUACUCCCACAGAGACCCACUCACGGCUGCUCACAGGAUGGCCUCCUGCUCUGAGGGAUUCUUCAAGGAUGAAGAGGCCGCAGGAAGCAUGUGUGCUGGAACAGCACCUUGAUGUGGAAUCCCUGUGGGUAGGGCAGAGGCUAUAGCCCCACCUAAAAAAGCCUUUCUCCCUCCCUUUCCACGAGUUCACAUCCACAGUGCCUGACCUGGGCAAGUUCCUGAACGCCCAUGGAGACGGUGAUGGGGAGAAGGAGGCCUGUGUGUGCCUUAGCCACGCAGAUAGUAACACCUCCCAGAGCUCCCGCACCACAGGCCUGUGGGGUCCCUCUGACCGCCAGACCCACAGGGCUGGGAGACAUUUCCACAGGUCAAAGGCAGAAAGCAAGAAAGGAAUUCCUGACUAGAACUGAAAAUGACACGAAAGCAACAGUGCUAAGGCUAAGUACUGGGGUGGGGAUGAAAGGGCAGGUGGGGUACCAGGGUACCUGCGGUACCAGGGAGGGGCUCGGACGCCAGCAUCUACCCUGGGAAUGGGAAGGGUACUCAGACAGCAGCUUCUACCCUGGGAAUAGGAAGGGUACUCAGGUGCUCAGAUGCCAGCAUCUACCCUGGGAAUGGGAAGGGUACUCAGACAGCAGCUUCUACCCUGGGAAUAGGAAGGGUACUCAGGUGCUCAGAUGCCAGCAUCUACCCUGGGAAUGGGAAGCGGCAGACUAUGGAGAAAGGGCCCACCCACAGGGGCCUGCAGCACAGCACAGGACCUGCCUGAGCCAGGCAGCAAGCAAGCUGGGAUGGAUGGCGCCCACUUCCUGCCUGUUUAAAACAAGUAUCAGGCAGGGCAGAGAAACCCUGCCUGCUGACUUGCCUCAUUUCCUGCCCAUGGUUAAGGAAGGCAGAACCUAGACAAAAUCAUCCUCCUCCUGAUAAGCGGCCUCCUGAGCCUGCCAAGACGGAGCUGCCCUUGGAAGGAAAAGUGCUUCACUUUAGGUGGAAGGAAGAUCGGGGCGAGGAGGGUGUGAACCUAGCAGUGCCAGAAGCCCCUCUGUGCCUCUAGGGCGGUGGUUCUGUGGUUCUGAAGCUAGAGCAGGCCCAAAGUCCCUGGAGGAGGUUGUUCAAAGCCCUUGUCACUGAGCGCCCAUUCGGGGAUGUCUCAGUGGGCCCUGGAGAUCCUGGUGCAGAGUCCCCAGGGCAGCUCAGAGAAGAGUGGACUAGCCUGUCGUGCAGAUGGUGCAUUCAGAGAGCAACUCCUACAACAAGGACUUUGGAGACAAAUUCCUACCUGUCCCACUAAGGACGAGGAUGGGGCAGAUGGCAGCUAAGUCCACACUGCAGCCAGAGGUCUUUGAGGGAGCUCGAGGCUCUCAUUCACUAAUCCUAGGGCAGAUGGGGAGUCAGCAGGCACUUGGAUCUCUGCUGCCACUUCAUGGAGAGGGAAACUGAGGCACAAAGAGGAAGGGAUUAAUCAGACCACUGCCUGCAGCAGAGCUGGGGCUGCAUCCCAAGCCUCCCAACUCCAACUUCGUCCCAUCCUCUCCUGGGUAAACCGGGCCGGGCAUGCCACGGGUUAAACGCGGCUCGGCUCUCCGGGAAGCACCAGACCCCCUGCCAGAAGAGCCCAGCUCCACCAUCUGGAGCUGCAGGAAGAGAACUUUCUUGGGUGCUCUGUGCAAAGGGCUUGUGAUUGUUUCGCCCUAAAGGAAGCCCUGGGAAGAGGUAGAGUUCCGCACGAGACCACGGCCUCACUGCUUCUGCUGUGGGAGCCAGGGUAGGAAGUCCCAGAACAAUGCCUCUGGGGGCUCUUGCAGCCAGGCCAGCUGUCCCUAGAGCAGGGGCAACCUCCCCCUCUAACAAGGUGGUCUUUCCCAUUCCCACUUAGACUGUGGGCAGCCUCCCUGGAACAUUCCCCAGGGAUGUCCAACAGUCUCCCCUACCAGGACACUCCUCUUGCCACCAAAACUCAGGGGCUGAAACCUUUCAUGAUGGGGUUAUUUUCUGCAGCACCUUAAAAAUGAACUUGAGAUAUAGAACCUUCUGGCACAUUUGUGUGCUGUGAGGCAUGGCUGUGCUGAGUGGGGCCUCAGGAAACAGGUCAUGCACCUCCUGAUACCCCUGCUGCUCUGGGAUGCCACUGCCCACUUCCUGGUGCUUAGAGACCAUCGCCACCAGCAGAAGAUCCUAGGGCAGCCUAGAAUCUGCAGAGCCUGUCCCAGUGAUCACAGAGGCGUCUCCAAGGCAGUCCCAAGGACUCCCUGUCCCUCAGGACAUCCCGGGGGCCUCCUGGCUGGUGUGGGGAUACAGGAGUCUCUCGGGAGGCUCCAUGAUGCAGUCCUUCAGAACCUCCGCUGCUUCCCUGGAGGGCAGGAUGGGUGGCUUCUGGGUCCUGGGCUCCUCCACAUAGAGGGCUCCCAUCUCCUCCUUCCUGAGCCUGGCGCCUGUGAGGGAGGAAGGAGAAUACAAUUAGACUGACUGACAGUGACCGCCUUCCACAUCCAGCUUCGCCCAGGGGCUGUUUGGUGAGGAAAGCUUGGCAGAACAGACUGAAGUCAGGACCACGACUGCUCUUUGCAGCCCUCAUCUGUUGCUACUCUGUUCAUUCUUUUAUCCUGAGAUAGGGGAUCUCAACUGGGGGCGAUUUUGUCCCCCAGGGGCCAUUUGCCAAUGUCUGGAGAUGAUUUUUGUGGUCACAAAUGGGGUGUGUGCUACUGGUAUCCAGUGGUUAUCUAAUAGGUAGAGGCCAUGGAUGCUGCUCAAGUUCCCACAGUGAACAGGAAGGGCCCCCAACAGAGAUUACCCAGCCCCAGCAUCAACAAUGCCAAGGCUGAGAGCCCUG
rnacentral:lncRNA from 1 species